rnacentral:rRNA from 1 species
CUACGGGCCGCUCCAGUGGGGAAUAUUGGACAAUGGGGGAAACCCUGAUCCAGCAAUACCGCGUGUGUGAAGAAGGCCUUAGGGUUGUAAAGCUCUUUCAGUAGCGAAGAUAAUGACGGUACCUACAGAAGAAGCCCCGGCUAAAUUCGUGCCAGCAGCCGCGGUAAUACGAAUGGGGCAAGCGUUGUUCGGAAUCACUGGGCUUAAAGCGUGCGUAGGCGGAAAUGUAAGUCAGGAGUGAAAGCCUGGGGCUUAACCCCAGAACUGCUCUUGAAACUACAUUUCUUGAAUCCGGUAGAGGUCAGGAGAAUUCCUAGUGUUGAGGUGAAAUUCGCAGAUAUUAGGAGGAAUACCAGUGGCGUAGGCGCCUGACUGGGCCGGUAUUGACGCUGAGGUACGAAAGCGUGGGGAGCAAACAGGAUUAGAUACCCUCGUAGUC